rnacentral:lncRNA from 1 species
AUUUGAGCGAAACUUGGAAUAACUCGCUCUUUCCUGAUAAACUAAUUUAGCACAUAAAUGUACUUUGGUAAAUAUAGAAACUUAAAGAUGCAGCUGGGGGUGGUGUUCAUUUAGUUAAUACCAUGGAACUACCAAAUGGUAUAAUCUUGGAAAAAAUCGUGGGUUGAGAUAUCAUUGUCUGUGUUGCAGUAUUUUAAACUAGGACAAAAAUAGAAGUCCUACAGUUUCUAUUUUCUUCAAACAGUUACUCGCUGGAAGUGGUGGGAAUCAUAAAAAACAACCAGGACCUUGCAUCCUAGUAUAGAAGCCACAACUGUGGAAGCUUAACAGCCAGGCAAAUGCCCACAAACCACCACCCUCUGCAUUGGAUGCAUAUGUCCCUGACCUCGCAAGUGAAAAAGAGAGGAAGACGGCGACACCUCCAGGCUUCAGACUCAUUAAUCCUGUGAAUCGUGACCCACUCUUAAAACCAAGGUUGAAUGAGUUGAAUCCCUACCCCCAAAAGAUAUGAAGUCUUAACCCCUGGUACGUGUGGUUGUGACUUAUUUGGAAAUAGGAUCUUUGCAGAUAUAAACAAGUUAAGAUGAGGUCAGUAGGAUGGACUCUAAUCUAGUACAAUUGAUAUCCUUAUAGGAAGAGGGAAGUUUGGACACAGACACACACAGACAAGAGAAUACCAUGUGACAAAGGCAGAGAUUGGAAUGAUACAGCUGCAAGCCAGGGAUGCCAAGGAUUGCAGGUGAAGAGUCAAGGAAGGAUUCUACCCAGAGUUGCACGGCCUUAUUGACACCUUGAUUUGGGCUUCUAGACUCCAGAAUCAUGACAGAAUAAAUUUAUCUGUGUGGAUGUGUGUGUGUGUGUGUGUGUGUGUGUGUGUGUGUGUGUUUUCCUAAAAAAGAGACAAGGUCUCAUUCUAUCCCCCAGGAUGGAGUGCAGUGUCAUGAUCAUAGCUCACUGCAGCCUCGAUCUCCUGGACUCAAAGCAUCUUCCCACCCCAGCCUCCCAGGAAUCUGGGACUACAGGUGUGAACCACUGUGCCGGCUCUGUUGAUUUAAGCCACCGAGUUUGUGGAACUUUGUUAUGGCAGUUCUAGAAAAUGAAUAUAAUAAUUAAAAUGAAAGUU